rnacentral:rRNA from 1 species
GUGGGGAAUUUUGCGCAAUGGGGGAAACCCUGACGCAGCAACGCCGCGUGGAGGAUGAAAUCCCUUGGGAUGUAAACUCCUUUCGAUCGGGACGAUAAUGACGGUACCGAUAGAAGAAGCCCCGGCUAACUUCGUGCCAGCAGCCGCGGUAAUACGAGGGGGGCAAGCGUUGUUCGGAAUUAUUGGGCGUAAAGGGUGCGUAGGCGGUUUGAUAAGUCUUGUGUGAAAUCUAUGGGCUCAACCCAUAGUCUGCACAGGAAACUGUCGGGCUUGAGAGUGGGAGAGGUGAGUGGAAUUUCCGGUGUAGCGGUGAAAUGCGUAGAUAUCGGAAGGAACACCUGUGGCGAAAGCGGCUCACUGGACCAUUUCUGACGCUGAUGCACGAAAGCUAGGGGAGCAAACAGG